UCUGGAUCUGGAGUUGGCUUCUCUGGAUCUGGAGUUGGCUUCUCUAGAUCUGGAGUUGGUUUCUCUGGAUCUGGAGUUGGUUUCUCUGGAUCUGGAG
rnacentral:tRNA from 1 species